UGAAAUGCUCUCAGUUGGAGAUUGGGAUUACAACAUCAUGUUACCUUAAAUACAAAGGUUGUUUGGCAGAACAAGGAUCCCGACAGAAAGAUAUGAAACUGUGUAUGAGAAAAUGUAGAUUGAGGGCCAGCUGCCCAGCCAGAUGCCGGUGGGAGUCGUGCCGGCAUUCCCAGCCCUGAGCUCUGCGUAGAAACAGUCCAAUCCCACAGACACGUGUGCUUAAAUCAUGCAAACAUCUUUUGGAUCUGUGAACCAAAACACAAG
ensembl:lncRNA